UACGAAGGACCCAAGCGUUAUCCGGAUUUAUUGGGUUUAAAGGGUGCGUAGGCGGUUUAUUAAGUCAGUGGUGAAAGCCUUCAGCUUAACUGAAGAACUGCCAUUGAUACUGAUGAUCUUGAGUAUGAUUGAGGUGGGCGGAAUGUGUCAUGUAGCGGUGAAAUGCUUAGAUAUGACACAGAACACCGAUUGCGAAGGCAGCUCACUAAGCCAUAACUGACGCUGAUGCACGAAAGCGUGGGGAGCAAACAGG
rnacentral:rRNA from 1 species